rnacentral:tRNA from 2 species
GCCCCUGUGGCGGAAUUGGUAGACGCGGCAGACUCAAAAUCUGUUUCUCGCAAGGGAGUGGGGGUUCAAGUCCCUCCAGGGGCACCA